AUUCAGGGUUGGAGGCUCGUGUUGGAACCAGUUCACAUGAUUGGGUUAACAGACUACUGGUUUGUUUGCUGGACAUGGUGGUGCACGCCUUUAAUACCAGCACUUGGGAGGCAGCGGCAGGAGCUUCUCUGUGAGUUCAAGGCCAUGUCUACAUAGUGAGUUCCAGGAUAUCAAGACUACAUAGUGAGACCCUGCACACAUGUAUACACGCACAUGCUCGCACGCACGCACACACACACACCUUUUGUUUAUUUUGUUUAUUAUUUUAGGUUUUAUGUACAUUUUUAUUUGUGUGUGUGUGUGUGUGUGUGUGUGUGUGUGUUUGCACGCACUCUCAUGCAUUGUCUGUCUGUGUGGAGAUUUGUGCAUUUGAGUGUAGUGACAUUAAAGGCCAGAAGAGGACUAAAUCCCUUGGCGCUGGAGUUACAGGCAGUUGGCAGCUGCCUGCCAUGGUUCCUCUGCAACGAUGUUGUAUGCAUAACCACUGAGUCAUCUACCAGACCUUCAUCUUUGUGUCCUGAUGCAGAAACUCUGGAAACACCCACCACCGUUUCUGUACUCCG
rnacentral:lncRNA from 1 species